rnacentral:lncRNA from 1 species
UGUCCCAAGGCAUUUAACUGGAAGUCCAAUUUAAUUCGCCACCAGAUGUCACAUGACAGUGGAAAGCACUAUGAAUGUGAAAACUGUGCCAAGCAGGUUUUCACGGACCCUAGCAACCUUCAGCGGCACAUUCGCUCUCAGCAUGUCGGUGCCCGGGCCCAUGCAUGCCCGGAGUGUGGCAAAACGUUUGCCACUUCGUCGGGCCUCAAACAACACAAGCACAUCCACAGCAGUGUGAAGCCCUUUAUCUGUAAGUUUUCAACACUCCAGCCCUCCUUCCCACAUCUGUCUCUUCCCCAAAAGGCACUGUGACCAGGAGAGUGGCUGCACAUGGCCUUUAGAGGGUCACCGUGUUAGCUAUUUAUGGUCCAAUCCAGUAGGGCUAUUUAUGAUUACAAGUAAAUCUUUUAUAAUCAGA